GUGACAGCAGGACUUGGGAUGAGAACAUCCUGAGUUAUGCAGCUGUCAACUCAUGGUAAAAGGAAGGACACAUCCUUGUCAUUAGAGGCUGUCACUGUUUCCUGGGGCUGAGAUCUAAGAGGAAUGCAUCACAUGGCUCCUAAGUCAGUUUCCAACACUGGAGUGGAUCCAGUUUCUGAUAUGAGUUAACCAGAGGAAGGUCAAAGCAUCUCCAGCCUUGGGAGCUCAGAGCCUGGUCCUGGCUCUGGCCCUGGAUGGAACUCACACAAUCAAUGCCAACAAAGAAAGUGAAGGGAGUUGAGCAGCCUUGACCUGACAUUGGGUCUCAUGGUGUCAACAUCCCACCUUCUCUGGCUCAUUUGCAAAGAGCCAUUGGCAACAGGCCACCAUGCAAUCAGCUCUGAGAUUCCUGGGACUCAAGGGCAGAGUCCCUGAGCAGCAAGAGAACACA